GAUGAACGCUGGCGGCGUGCCUAAUACAUGCAAGUCGAGCGAACAGACGAGGAGCUUGCUCCUCUGACGUUAGCGGCGGACGGGUGAGUAACACGUGGAUAACCUACCUAUAAGACUGGGAUAACUUCGGGAAACCGGAGCUAAUACCGGAUAAUAUAUUGAACCGCAUGGUUCAAUAGUGAAAGACGGUUUUGCUGUCACUUAUAGAUGGAUCCGCGCCGCAUUAGCUAGUUGGUAAGGUAACGGCUUACCAAGGCGACGAUGCGUAGCCGACCUGAGAGGGUGAUCGGCCACACUGGAACUGAGACACGGUCCAGACUCCUACGGGAGGCAGCAGUAGGGAAUCUUCCGCAAAGGGCGAAAGCCUGACGGAGCAACGCCGCGUGAGUGAUGAAGGUCUUCGGAUCGUAAAACUCUGUUGUUAGGGAAGAACAAAUGUGUAAGUAACUAUGCACGUCUUGACGGUACCUAAUCAGAAAGCCACGGCUAACUACGUG
rnacentral:rRNA from 1 species